rnacentral:rRNA from 1 species
CUACAGGCUUAACACAUGCAAGUCGAGGGGCAUCAGGAAGAAAGCUUGCUUUCUUUGCUGGCGACCGGCGCACGGGUGAGUAACACGUAUCCAACCUGCCCUUUACUCGGGGAUAGCCUUUCGAAAGAAAGAUUAAUACCCGAUGGCAUAAUGAUUCCGCAUGGUUUCAUUAUUAAAGGAUUCCGGUAAAGGAUGGGGAUGCGUUCCAUUAGGUUGUUGGUGAGGUAACGGCUCACCAAGCCUUCGAUGGAUAGGGGUUCUGAGAGGAAGGUCCCCCACAUUGGAACUGAGACACGGUCCAAACUCCUACGGGAGGCAGCAGUGAGGAAUAUUGGUCAAUGGGCGCUAGCCUGAACCAGCCAAGUAGCGUGAAGGAUGAAGGCUCUAUGGGUCGUAAACUUCUUUUAUAUAAGAAUAAAGUGCAGUAUGUAUACUGUUUUGUAUGUAUUAUAUGAAUAAGGAUCGGCUAACUCCGUGCCAGCAGCCGCGGUAAUACGGAGGAUCCGAGCGUUAUCCGGAUUUAUUGGGUUUAAAGGGAGCGUAGGUGGACUGGUAAGUCAGUUGUGAAAGUUUGCGGCUCAACCGUAAAAUUGCAGUUGAUACUGUCAGUCUUGAGUACAGUAGAGGUGGGCGGAAUUCGUGGUGUAGCGGUGAAAUGCUUAGAUAUCACGAAGAACUCCGAUUGCGAAGGCAGCUCACUGGACUGCAACUGACACUGAUGCUCGAAAGUGUGGGUAUCAAACAGGAUUAGAUACCCUGGUAGUCCACACAGUAAACGAUGAAUACUCGCUGUUUGCGAUAUACAGUAAGCGGCCAAGCGAAAGCAUUAAGUAUUCCACCUGGGGAGUACGCCGGCAACGGUGAAACUCAAAGGAAUUGACGGGGGCCCGCACAAGCGGAGGAACAUGUGGUUUAAUUCGAUGAUACGCGAGGAACCUUACCCGGGCUUAAAUUGCAGUGGAAUGAUGUGGAAACAUGUCAGUGAGCAAUCACCGCUGUGAAGGUGCUGCAUGGUUGUCGUCAGCUCGUGCCGUGAGGUGUCGGCUUAAGUGCCAUAACGAGCGCAACCCUUAUCUUUAGUUACUAACAGGUUAUGCUGAGGACUCUAGAGAGACUGCCGUCGUAAGAUGUGAGGAAGGUGGGGAUGACGUCAAAUCAGCACGGCCCUUACGUCCGGGGCUACACACGUGUUACAAUGGGGGGUACAGAAGGCAGCUAGCGGGUGACCGUAUGCUAAUCCCAAAAGCCUCUCUCAGUUCGGAUCGAAGUCUGCAACCCGACUUCGUGAAGCUGGAUUCGCUAGUAAUCGCGCAUCAGCCACGGCGCGGUGAAUACGUUCCCGGGCCUUGUACACACCGCCCGUCAAGCCAUGGGAGCCGGGGGUACCUGAAGUACGUAACCGCAAGGAUCGUCCUAGGGUAAAACUGGUGACUGGGGCU